rnacentral:rRNA from 1 species
UACGAAGGGGGCUAGCGUUGCUCGGAAUCACUGGGCGUAAAGGGCGCGUAGGCGGCCAUUCAAGUCGGGGGUGAAAGCCUGUGGCUCAACCACAGAAUUGCCUUCGAUACUGUUUGGCUUGAGUUUGGUAGAGGUUGGUGGAACUGCGAGUGUAGAGGUGAAAUUCGUAGAUAUUCGCAAGAACACCAGUGGCGAAGGCGGCCAACUGGUCCGGUACUGACGCUGAGGUGCGAAAAGUGUGGGGGAGCAA